GCUCAUUUCACUCGGCAUCAGUUCAUGUAAGGAAAGAGAUCACUUUCAAUUGAGAUAGGUCAAGAAAAAUUAUUGAAAGAGAUGAAACCCUGAAGCAAAGAAGAGAUCUGUAAAAGAAGUUGAUUCAAAACAAGAGGCAAAGGUAUGAAGACAAGAGAGGGAAAAAUCAGAAGGAAAAUGGGAAGCAGAACAGUUUGGAUGGAUCAUAGACUAGGUGAAGAACAAAAAUAUAAUAUAAGCCUGUACUUCAUUGGUAGUGAUGAUAGCCUCAAAUGCCAGAAUCCAGUAUCAUUUAUUGUAUAGGUAACAGGGAGAUACUGAAGAUAUUAAGGCAUGAGAAGGACAUGAUCAGACAAAUACAUUAAGAAGAAUCAUUCAGAAGUACUGAGAAAAAUGGAUUGGAAAGAAGCAAUAGAAGAAUGAAGGCCAAAAUUUCCUGUGACUUCUUGCCUCUUCAAAAAGGGAAACCAGCCAGACUCAGAAGACUUGAACGCCAACUGAAAAGCUGUUGAUAAGGGCUGAAAAUAAACAGGAGAUUUAAUUUGAAAACA